UGUCUGCCACAGGGGGGUAGGGGCUUCUCCAAUUUACCGGCGUCUCAGACAGUUCUGUGUCAGAAGCCAUAGGAUAUAGGCUGCCACCAUGGACGACCAGGGAUAUUAUAGUAAUAAUAGAAUCAAUUUGACCAAUUCAGGAGUUAAUCGGAGAACAAAUAGGCAGUCUGGAAAUAAUGCAUGGCAAGAGCCCGGGGAUUCCAAUCCUGAUGUCAAUGCUAACGCACCUGUUAACGCGAACACCGACCCACAAACACAGCAGGAUCCAGCUCAGCCUCGACAUUCAGAUGGGUUCACCAUGAUACCACCCAUUGAAUCACGAAGGAGUAAACUACAAAUGAUGGCUCAGAAAGAAGGAGGAUUUACAGAGAUGGAAGGAAGCAAACAGACCUGGUCCUGUUUAGCUGGCCCCAGAGAGGCUG